rnacentral:rRNA from 1 species
AGCGAACGCUGGCGGCAUGCCUAACACAUGCAAGUCGAACGAGACCUUCGGGUCUAGUGGCGCACGGGUGCGUAACGCGUGGGAACCUGCCCUUAGGUUCGGAAUAACUCCCCGAAAGGGGUGCUAAUACCGGAUAAUGUCUUCGGACCAAAGAUUUAUCGCCUUUGGAUGGGCCCGCGUUGGAUUAGCUAGUUGGUAGGGUAAAAGCCUACCAAGGCGACGAUCCAUAGCUGGUCUGAGAGGAUGAUCAGCCACACUGGGACUGAGACACGGCCCAGACUCCUACGGGAGGAAGCAGUGGGGAAUAUUGGACAAUGGGCGAAAGCCUGAUCCAGCAAUGCCGCGUGAGUGAUGAAGGCCUUAGGGUUGUAAAGCUCUUUUACCCGGGAUGAUAAUGACAGUACCGGGAGAAUAAGCGCCGGCUAACUCCGUG